GGCAGCAGGGAUAGCUGAACGUUUUGAUAUAAGAUUUGUGUAGGUGGGCCUGAAAAUAAGGGAGUGGUGGCAGUUUAGAAAUCAUGUCCUGAUUUUUCAGCUUUUGCCAGCUCCCACUCUAGCUUUGCCAUUCAUUCCUAUGGGACAAAUCUCGCCACAAAAAUGACGAUAUUCUGUGAACCAUUCGCACGUUAGUGCACAUAUCUGCAA